rfam:Pseudonocardia sp. 73-21 SCNpilot_cont_1000_p_scaffold_231, whole genome shotgun sequence.
GCAGGACGUGCCGCCGGUGUCCCCACCCGGCAGCCCUGGCGCACCUUCCCCGGUGCCAGGUCUGCCGGGUGGGGACAUCGACGGCGGCCCGGCUGGGG